rnacentral:rRNA from 1 species
CCUACGGGCGGCUGCAGUGGGGAAUAUUGCUCAAUGGGGGAAACCCUGAAGCAGCAACGCCGCGUGGAGGAUGAAGGUUUUCGGAUUGUACACUCCUUUUGUUAGGGAAGAUAAUGACGGUAUCUAACGAAUAAGCACCGGCUAACUCCGUGCCAGCAGCAGCGGUAAUACGGAGGGUGCAAGCGUUACUCGGAAGCACGGGGCGUAAAGAGCACGUAGGCGGGAUAGCAAGUCAGAUGUGAAAUCCUAUGGCUUAACCAUAGAACUGCAUUUGAAACUGUUAAUAUGGAGUAUGGGAGAGGUAGGGGGAAUUCUUGGUGUAGGGGUAAAAUCCGUAGAGAUCAAGAGGAAUACUCAUUGCGAAGGCGACCUGCUAGAACAUAACUGACGCUGAUGCGCGAAAGCGUGGGGAGCAAACAGGAUUGGAUACCCGGGUAGUC